rnacentral:rRNA from 1 species
GAUGAACGCUGGCGGCGUGCCUAAUACAUGCAAGUCGAGCGAACAGAUAAGGAGCUUGCUCCUCUGACGUUAGCGGCGGACGGGUGAGUAACACGUGGGUAACCUACCUAUAAGACUGGGAUAACUUCGGGAAACCGGAGCUAAUACCGGAUAAUAUUUCGAACCGCAUGGUUCGAUAGUGAAAGAUGGUUUUGCUAUCACUUAUAGAUGGACCCGCGCCGUAUUAGCUAGUUGGUAAGGUAACGGCUUACCAAGGCGACGAUGCGUAGCCGACCUGAGAGGGUGAUCGGCCACACUGGAACUGAGACACGGUCCAGACUCCUACGGGAGGCAGCAGUAGGGAAUCUUCCGCAAUGGGCGAAAGCCUGACGGAGCAACGCCGCGUGAGUGAUGAAGGUCUUCGGAUCGUAAAACUCUGUUAUUAGGGAAGAACAAACGUGUAAGUAACUGUGCACGUCUUGACGGUACCUAAUCAGAAAGCCACGGCUAACUACGUG